GAUGAAGAACGCAGCGAAAUGCGAUAAGUAAUGUGAAUUGCAGAAUUCAGUGAAUCAUCGAAUCUUUGAACGCACAUUGCGCCCGCCAGUAUUCUGGCGGGCAUGCCUGUCUGAGCGUCAUUUCAACCCUCAUGCCCCUAGGGCGUGGUGUUGGGGAUCGGCCAAAGCCCGCGAGGGACGGCCGGCCCCUAAAUCUAGUGGCGGACCCGUCGUGGCCUCCUCUGCGAAGUAGUGAUAUUCCGCAUCGGAGAACGAUGAGCCCCUGCCGUUAAACCCCCAACUUUCCAAGGUUGACCUCAGAUCAGGUAGGAAUACCCGCUGAACUUAAGCAUAUCAAUAAGCGGAGGA
rnacentral:misc_RNA from 1 species